CUGGGUUCAGAACGUCGUGAGACAGUUCGGUCCCUAUCUGCCGUGGGCGUUGGAGAAUUGAGAGGAUUUGCCCCUAGUACGAGAGGACCGGGGUGAACGUUCCUCUGGUGUAGCUGUUGUCCUGCCAAGGGCACCGCAGCUUAGCUACGAACGGAUCGGAUAACCGCUGAAAGCAUCUAAGCGGGAAGCCGGCCUCGAGAUGAAUUCUCCCACCUCCUAGAGAGGGUAAGGAUCCUGGCAGACCACCAGGUUGAUAGGUCAGCUCUGGAAGCGCGGUGACGCGUGUAGGAGACUGAUACUAAUAAUCCGAGGGCUUGACGGU
rnacentral:rRNA from 1 species